rfam:Pseudomonas rhizosphaerae strain DSM 16299, complete genome.
AGGCAAGAUGUGUGUUGUACGGGUACGGGCAAGCCCGGCCCUGCCAAUACCUUCCCUUAUUCACCUCCGGCUCAACGUAUUUGGCUCUGCGAGGCU